UUUAAACGUAAACGUUUCAUGUGCGUCGUCUGAUAUCACAGUUGAUGGUACAGUGGUUCUAGCGGCGCGGAUGUACUUCUCUACAUCUGCAGUCUUUGUUGGCGAGUAGAUGGCUUUUUUGCAGUCCAUUCCUUCGCAUCGCAUGCUCCUCACCAUUACAGGGAACAGCAACAAGCCCUGGCUUCUGGCGAAUGGCAGCCACCCCUCCAUGACCUGGUGGAUGGCAACGAGUUGAUCUGUACCUCCCUCCUUGUCUGGUCUUCUCUAUCUCCACUGUUAUCAUUCCUCCUAUAUUUUCCUGGAGCUCCUCCAUGGAACUUGAAAUCCGUGUGUCAAACAGCUCAAGGCGUGCCACGGCCAAACACAGGUCCAUCACAGAGCCAGAGCUACAUCCUAGGUCUACCUCAUCGCUACAGUGCAGGUCAAUCUCCAGUCUAUGGCCAGCAUUGUGCAGAAUCGUGCUACUUUCAUGCUGCUGCCUUGGGUUGUUUUAUUUUUGGUCCACAGGUUGAAGCGAAACCCCCUCCCCCCUGGAACACGAGGUUUGGCCAAAGUCAAACACCCUGGAAGGAGGUUUUGACCCCCCUGGAACAUGAUUAUGGACUGGUUUUGAUAUUUUCCCCCGGAACGCAAUUGCUCUUGUUUUGAGUACUGGUUUUGUUAUGCAGACCUGGCAACCUAUCUAUGGCCAUGGCCCAUCUGCUGUGCCCAUAAUCUCAUGGUAGAAAUAAGCCAUUAACUAUGUCACAUAAAGUAUGAAAAAAAUAAAUA